AGUGAACGCUGGCGGCAUGCCUAACACAUGCAAGUCGAACGGCAGCACAGUAAGAUCUUGCUCCUACGGGUGGCGAGUGGCGGACGGGUGAGGAAUACAUCGGAAUCUACUUUUUCGUGGGGGAUAACGUAGGGAAACUUACGCUAAUACCGCAUACGACCUACGGGUGAAAGCAGGGGAUCUUCGGACCUUGCGCGAUUGAAUGAGCCGAUGUCGGAUUAGCUAGUUGGCGGGGUAAUGGCCCACCAAGGCGACGAUCCGUAGCUGGUCUGAGAGGAUGAUCGGCCACACUGGAACUGAGACACGGUCCAGACUCCUACGGGAGGCAGCAGUGGGGAAUAUUGGGCAAUGGGCGCAAGCCUGAUCCAGCCAUACCGCGUGGGUGAAGAAGGCCUUCGGGUUGUAAAGCCCUUUUGUUGGGAAAGAAAAGCAGCAGGUUGAUACGCCGCUGUUCUGACGGUACCCAAAGAAUAAGCACCGGCUAACUACGUG
rnacentral:rRNA from 1 species